UGUUGGAACCAUUCAAAACAACACAGCGCGUUAAAAUAAGGCUGGUCCGUAAAUAGCUUGAAGAAAGUGGCACCGAUUCGGUGCUUUUUUU
rnacentral:sRNA from 1 species